rnacentral:rRNA from 1 species
GGUUAAAAUAAUUAAGGGCACACAAAGGAUGCCUAGGUAGUAAGAGCCGAUGAAGGACGUGGUAAGCCUGCGAUAAGCCUAGAUAAGUUGCAAUCGAACGUAAGAGUCUAGGAUUUCCGAAUGGAGCAAUCUAUUAAGAUGGAGUCUUAAUACGAAAGAGGGAACCGCGUGAACUGAAACAUCUAAGUACCGCGAGGAAAAGAAAGUAAAAACGAUACCCAAAGUAGCGGCGAGCGAACUGGGUCAAGCCUAAACCUUAAAUAUGUCAAGGAUACAGCCGUUGUAUUUAAGGGGUAGAGGGACAAAGUAGUGAAGAACUGUAAGAUAUUCAAUAUAGUGUAUUGAUGAAUUAGAAUUGUCUGGAAAGAUGAACCGCAGAAGGUGAAAGUCCUGUAUAAGUAAAUCCUUACACAUAUAACUUUGCUCCCAAGUAACAUGGAACACGAGGAAUUCUGUGUGAAUCAGUGAGGACCAAAUCUCAUAAGGCUAAAUACUCU